rnacentral:rRNA from 1 species
UACGUAGGUGGCAAGCGUUGUUCGGAAUUAUUGGGCGUAAAGGGCGCGUAGGCGGCCUGCUAAGUCGGAUGUGAAAUCCCUCGGCUCAACCGAGGAACUGCAUCCGAUACUGGCGGGCUUGAAUCCGGGAGAGGGAUGUGGAAUUCCAGGUGUAGCGGUGAAAUGCGUAGAUAUCUGGAGGAACACCGGUGGCGAAGGCGGCAUCCUGGACCGGUAUUGACGCUGAGGCGCGAAAGCUAGGGGAGCAAACGGGG